UGUGAUGUGCCUCAGUAUGGCAUUGUCUCUGCUGUGGCUGGUGACCAGCUUUAGCAUAGCCCCCCUGUGACUGAGUGACUUUCAUGAUUACCCCCAAACCCGUGGUGACUUUUCCCCCUUCAUCGGCCCACUCGCUACAAAUGGAAGAGAGACGGAAGGAGAGGAGAAAAGGAUUAGAGGGGAGAAGGAGAAGAGAGAAUGAGGAGUAGUAUUUAGUAGGGAUGCACAGAAAUUAAAAUUCUUGGCCGAAACGUAACGAAUAUACUGAAACAGUUGGCCGAAGGCCGACACCGAAUGCCGAAUGUGGCUUUUAAUGUUUUUCAUUAAUUUUGCUUUAAUUUUUCACCAUUGCAUAAAUCAAACAAUUAAAUGUCCUUUAUAAACUUUUUUGUCUUGCUUUUCUAUAAAAAAAAAAAAUUACAAAUUUGAUACAAAAUAUUUAUUUAAUACUGAACGUUUCCUAACAUUCCA